GACGAACGCUGGCGGCGUGCUUAACACAUGCAAGUCGAACGGAAAGGCCCUGCUUUUGUGGGGUGCUCGAGUGGCGAACGGGUGAGUAACACGUGAGUAACCUGCCCUUGACUUUGGGAUAACUUCAGGAAACUGGGGCUAAUACCGGAUAGGAGCUCCUGCUGCAUGGUGGGGGUUGGAAAGUUUCGGCGGUUGGGGAUGGACUCGCGGCUUAUCAGCUUGUUUGUGGGGUAGUGGCUUACCAAGGCUUUGACGGGUAGCCGGCCUGAGAGGGUGACCGGCCACAUUGGGCCUGCGAUACGGCCCAGACUCCUACGGGAGGCAGCAGUGGGGAAUAUUGCACAAUGGGCGGAAGCCUGAUGCAGCAACGCCGCGUGCGGGAUGACGGCCUUCGGGUUGUAAACCGAUUUCGCCUGUGACGAAGCGUGAGUGACGGUAAUGGGUAAAGAAGCACCGGCUAACUACGUG
rnacentral:rRNA from 1 species